rnacentral:rRNA from 1 species
UUCGCCCUUAGAGUUUGAUCCUGGCUCAGGACGAACGCUGGCGGCGCGCCUAACACAUGCAAGUCGAACGAGCGAGAGAGAGCUUGCUUUCUCAAGCGAGUGGCGAACGGGUGAGUAACGCGUGAGGAACCUGCCUCAAAGAGGGGGACAACAGUUGGAAACGACUGCUAAUACCGCAUAAGCCCACGGGUCGGCAUCGACCAGAGGGAAAAGGAGCAAUCCGCUUUGAGAUGGCCUCGCGUCCGAUUAGCUAGUUGGUGAGGUAAUGGCCCACCAAGGCGACGAUCGGUAGCCGGACUGAGAGGUUGAACGGCCACAUUGGGACUGAGACACGGCCCAGACUCCUACGGGAGGCAGCAGUGGGGAAUAUUGCACAAUGGGGGAAACCUUGAUGCAGCGACGCCGCGUGGAGGAAGAAGGUCUUCGGAUUGUAAACUCCUGUUGUUGAGGAAGAUAAUGACGGUACUCAACAAGGAAGUGACGGCUAACUACGUGCCAGCAGCCGCGGUAAAACGUAGGUCACAAGCGUUGUCCGGAAUUACUGGGUGUAAAGGGAGCGCAGGCGGGAAGACAAGUUGGAAGUGAAAUCUAUGGGCUCAACCCAUAAACUGCUUUCAAAACUGUUUUUCUUGAGUAGUGCAGAGGUAGGCGGAAUUCCCGGUGUAGCGGUGGAAUGCGUAGAUAUCGGGAGGAACACCAGUGGCGAAGGCGGCCUACUGGGCACCAACUGACGCUGAGGCUCGAAAGUGUGGGUAGCAAACAGGAUUAGAUACCCUGGUAGUCCACACCGUAAACGAUGAUUACUAGGUGUUGGAGGAUUGACCCCUUCAGUGCCGCAGUUAACACAAUAAGUAAUCCACCUGGGGAGUACGACCGCAAGGUUGAAACUCAAAGGAAUUGACGGGGGCCCGCACAAGCAGUGGAGUAUGUGGUUUAAUUCGACGCAACGCGAAGAACCUUACCAAGUCUUGACAUCCUGCGACGAUGCUGGAAACAGUAUUUUCCUUCGGGACGCAGAGACAGGUGGUGCAUGGUUGUCGUCAGCUCGUGUCGUGAGAUGUUGGGUUAAGUCCCGCAACGAGCGCAACCCUUACUGUCAGUUACUACGCAAGAGGACUCUGGCAGGACUGCCGUUGACAAAACGGAGGAAGGUGGGGAUGACGUCAAAUCAUCAUGCCCUUUAUGACUUGGGCUACACACGUACUACAAUGGCGUUAAACAAAGAGAAGCAAGACCGCGAGGUGGAGCAAAACUCAGAAACAACGUCCCAGUUCGGACUGCAGGCUGCAACUCGCCUGCACGAAGUCGGAAUUGCUAGUAAUCGUGGAUCAGCAUGCCACGGUGAAUACGUUCCCGGGCCUUGCACACACCGCCCGUCA